rnacentral:rRNA from 1 species
GUUGUGUCAAUUCGAGAUGUUGGUAUUACAGGCAUGUGACGCUUUCUAGUAGGCGUCGUGGUGGUGCGGACUAUUGAUGAUACACACGGUGUACUGUCUUUGUAAACGUUGUGUUCCGUUUUCUUACAUGAAAUCGCAAGGAAAAAGAUCCCCAAGGUAAAGGGUGUGUACCUACGACUGGUACCACUUGACGGUUAGUGAUGACCUCUGCCUUGACGGCGACAGUGCCGGGCGAAAUAGUUCCCACAACUGUUUUCCCGUUGGUAGUGACUUCCGACCUCGCUGAAGAAGGCAGUCCGUGUGUACUUGCUUCCCGUUCAUAUGCGAAAGUGGAAGUUUACGUGAAGGUUCCCUGACACGGACUAGCAGAUGAGUUAUAUUCGUUCAACGUUC